UACGGAGGGGGCUAGCGUUGUUCGGAAUUACUGGGCGUAAAGCGCACGUAGGCGGCUUUGUAAGUUAGAGGUGAAAGCCCAGGGCUUAACCCUGGAAUUGCCUUUAAGACUGCAUCGCUAGAAUCAUGGAGAGGUGAGUGGAAUUCCGAGUGUAGAGGUGAAAUUCGUAGAUAUUCGGAAGAACACCAGUGGCGAAGGCGGCUCACUGGACAUGUAUUGACGCUGAGGUGCGAAAGCGUGGGGAGCAAACAGG
rnacentral:rRNA from 1 species